rnacentral:rRNA from 1 species
UAGGCGGAGAUAACACUACCGGAAAGGAGUGCUAAUACUGCAUGUAGACCCAGAGCUCCGGCUCCAGGUCGAAAAGAGGCGCCCGCAAGGGGCUCUCACUAGAGGUUGAGUCCGCGGCCCAUCAGCUUGUUGGCGGGGUAAUGGCCCACCAAGGCAAAGACGGGUAGCUGGUCUGAGAGGAUGAUCAGCCACACUGGGACUGAGACACGGCCCAG